UGAGUCGGGCUUUGCACCAAUUACAACCAUUGAGGUGGGCUUUACACAAUGACGAUAGUUCUGCAACAGCAAGCAGCUUUUUGUUUACAUUCAACAUGAUGGCUACCGAAUUGCAGCAACCCGUUGAU